GAACGCUAGCGGCAGGCUUAACACAUGCAAGUCGAGGGGUAUGCCGAUUUAUCGGCAGAGACCGGCGCACGGGUGCGUAACGCGUAUGCAAUCUACCUUCACAGAGGGAUAGCCCAGAGAAAUUUGGAUUAAUACCUCAUAGUAUAGCAAUUUCGCAUGAAACCACUAUUAAAGUCACAACGGCAAAAGAUGAGCAUGCGUCCCAUUAGCUAGUUGGUAAGGUAACGGCUUACCAAGGCUACGAUGGGUAGGGGUCCUGAGAGGGAGAUCCCCCACACUGGUACUGAGACACGGACCAGACUCCUACGGGAGGCAGCAGUGAGGAAUAUUGGACAAUGGGCGCAAGCCUGACCAGCCAUGCCGCGUGCAGGAUGACGGUCCUAUGGAUUGUAAACUGCUUUUAUACAGGAAGAAACACUCCGACGUGUCGGAGCUUGACGGUACUGUAAGAAUAAGGAUCGGCUAACUCCGUG
rnacentral:rRNA from 1 species